rnacentral:rRNA from 1 species
UACGAAGGGGGCUAGCGUUGUUCGGAAUCACUGGGCGUAAAGGGUGCGUAGGCCGCACGGUAAGUCAGAGGUGAAAUCCCGGAGCUCAACUCCGGAAUGGCCUCCGAUACUGCCGUGCUCGAGGACUGGAGAGGAGUCUGGAAUUCACAGUGGAGCAGUGAAAUGCGUGGAUAUUGUGAGGAACACUAGUGGCGAAGGCGAGACUCUGGACAGUUCCUGACGCUGAGGCACGAAGGCCAGGGGAGCAAACGGG